UGCAUAUCAAUAAGCGGAGGAAAAGAAACCAACAGGGAUUGCCUUAGUAGCGGCGAGUGAAGCGGCAAAAGCUCAAAUUUGAAAUCUGGCGCCUUCGGUGUCCGAGUUGUAAUUUGAAGAUUGUAACCUUGGGGUUGGCUCUUGUCUAUGUUUCUUGGAACAGGACGUCACAGAGGGUGAGAAUCCCGUGCGAUGAGAUGCCCAAUUCUAUGUAAGGUGCUUUCGAAGAGUCGAGUUGUUUGGGAAUGCAGCUCUAAGUGGGUGGUAAAUUCCAUCUAAAGCUAAAUAUUGGCGAGAGACCGAUAGCGAACAAGUACAGUGAUGGAAAGAUGAAAAGAACUUUGAAAAGAGAGUGAAAAAGUACGUGAAAUUGUUGAAAGGGAAGGGUUUGAGAUCAGACUCGAUAUUUUGUGAGCCUUGCCUUCGUGGCGGGGUGACCCGCAGCUUAUCGGGCCAGCAUCGGUUUGGGCGGUAGGAUAAUGGCGUAGGAAUGUGAC
rnacentral:rRNA from 1 species